rnacentral:rRNA from 1 species
UACGGGGGGGGCAAGCGUUGUUCGGAAUUACUGGGCGUAAAGGGCUUGUAGGUGGCCAACUAAGUCAGACGUGAAAUCCCUCGGCUUAACCGGGGAACUGCGUCUGAUACUGGAUGGCUUGAGUGUGGGAGAGGGAUGCGGAAUUCCAGGUGUAGCGGUGAAAUGCGUAGAUAUCUGGAGGAACACCGGUGGCGAAGGCGGCGUUCUGGACGGCAUCUGACACUGAGAAACGAAAGCCAGGGGAGCAAACGGG